UCUCCCCUCCCCUCCCGUCCCGGUCCUUCGGGCCGGGGCAGCCGCGGCCGCUCCCGCCGGGCUCCAUUUCAGCCCCUUUCCCGCUCCCGCCCGGCCGGGGCCCUCCCGUCCCCCGGCCCAGCCCCGCUCCCGGAGGGCGCUGCGGAACCGGCUCGGUGCCGGUUCCCGGGGCUGACCGAGGGCCCCCAGUCUCUUACCGGCAGCGGCGGGCGGGCGGUGCCUCCUCAGGGGAAGGGGCAGGGCGGGAAGCGCGGCCGGGCCGCGGCCACGGGCCCGCCGGGGGCAGGAGGGGUCGCUCCGCCCGCGCCAGCGCCGCCCGGGCCGGCGGGAGGGAGGGAGCGGCGGGAAUGCAGCGGGGCCGGCAGGAGGAGGAGGAGGAGGAGCUGGACGACGAGGAGGAGGAGGAUGGGGAUGGCGGCCCGGAGAGCGCCCUGGAGAAGAGCCCGUUCCAGCUGACGGCCGCCGAUGUGUACGACAUCUCGGCCGUGGUGGGCCGGGACCUGCUGCAGCUCCGCGCCGGGCCCGAGCUCCCCGCCGCCCGCGCGCGGCUGCAGUUCAGGAUCGUGCGGGUGCUGGAGAUGCUGGAGGCGCUGGUGAGCGAGAGCAGCGUGGCCGAGGAGCAGCUGCGGCGGGAGCGGGACAGUCUGCGGCGGGAGCUGGAGCAGCUCCGGGCGGCGGCGGCCCCAGGCAGCGCCCCGCAGAUCAGCCUUGGACCAGAUAAAAUGGUGAUCGACCUCACAGAUCCCAACCGGCCACGAUUCACGUUGCAGGAACUCAAAGAUGUGUUGCAAGAGAGAAACCAGCUGAAAGCUCAGCUUCUGGUGGUGCAAGAGGAGCUACAGUGCUAUAAGAGGGUGGAAAGAGGAACAGGCACCUGCCUUGCAGGGGAGCUGGGAAUAUCCCAUGUGUUCCCAGUCUUGGUGGCUGCGCUGAAGUGGGAUCAUCUCACAGAGAAAGGACCAAACUGAAGAACUGGAAAAAGAAAGCAGUGGCAGCAGCGCUGGCACCAGCAAGGACAGUGAGAAGACAAUCAUCAAACGGCUGUUUUCUUUUAAACAUGGAAAAUGAGCAUCCUCAAGGACUCCUGCUGAGCACGGCACUGAUGAGGGAGGAGACAAGGGCUGGGAGAAGCAGCACCACUCCUGCUGCAGAGAAUGAGCAACCUCAUCAAAAUUGUGUUGUAUAAUAUUCUUUCAGAAUAGUUUUUACUCUGCUUUUUCAGAAACUGCUUAAAACAGACACUUUUUGUAUUUCUUAGAUUCCUGUCAGAUAUUACCCACAUGUAGAAAAUAAACCUUUAUACACAGGUGGGGUUUAUUCUUAUUAAAGGAGCCUGUGAUGAUCAGUAUAACAUAUUUACCCUGUCCAGCUAUCAGAGCACUCAGCCCAAGUGAUUUUGCAAGAUGGAGAUGAUAUUUAAGAGAUACGUGGCAUUCCCAAGUGGCUGUUUGGGGUUGAGAUGAAUGAUAGUGGAGAAGAGCACAGCAAGGGAAGGAAAGCUGCUGCCUCGUGCUCUGCCCACAUGAAGGACUGAGGUGCAGAAAUGCUCAGACUGGAACAGAUGCACCAAACACCUCAUUUCUGACAGCUGAAGGGCUCCUGGGGAAGGCAGCUGUGUUUUGCAUAAGCUCUCUUCUUCCCAUCAACUGCCACAAGCUGUGUGUUGGCCCCAGUAAUGAGAUUUAUCACCAGUGGAAGGAUAUAGGGCAAACAGAGGAGUGGGAAAAGAAGCCUGAAAGACACCAGUUAGGUUCCCCAUUUAGAAAGGUAGAAUAUCCAGAGCACAAAAGCCUGAAUAGACAUAAAAGGAGCAGUGACAGGUAUCAAACUCUGAUCUUACUCUCUUCAGAAGUGAAAGCAGGCUCCGAAGUCUUUUGAUUCCCUCUCACACACUGGCAGCAUGAGAAAUAUAGGACACUUCACACAAGUGCUGGGAUGCACAGUGUGAGUGUGGCUCAGCAGAAGGCAGAGCUGCAGCCUCCCUUCAGAGUUCCUUGGCAACUGUGCAUGAGAAGGCACCACCACAGAGGUCUGACCUCAGCCACCUGGUAUAGGCAGGGUAUGAACUGCUGAAGUCAUUUUGCCAUCUUCAAAAUAUCAAUCUUAGCCAUGCCCUCAUGAUGUAUUUUGUAAAGCAAGGCAGCAGGGAAGGAAGUUACUGCACUGCCUGAGCAGAGGCUUUGUGCUCGAAAAUAAAUAAAUAAUCACGAAUUAACAACAGCCAGGAUACACCUCUGAGCUGAAGAGAUGUGCUCUGAACUUCAUCCUCCUGUGGUUUAUCCAGGAAUGUAUUUUCCAAUCUCCUUCAAAAAGGGCAGUUUAGCUCCCAACCCAAGGACAUCUUGUAAGCACCGAGAAGUGCUUUCCACCAUAUUAGAAGAUGAAAUCUUCCUAACAGGGACAGAGAUAAACAUCCAAAUGGCAGUUUCUGUGAGAAAUAUAUUGAUACCUCAGUUCCUAGGAAAGUCAAGGAUACAUAUGCAGUGCAACAUCAGCUUUAUUUCCAUCUGACCCAGUGCUACUCCAUUAUCAGUUAAGCCUUUCAGAGAAGACAACUUUGUUUUUAUGUAAAACAGGGAGAUCAUUCCCUUUUUUGUUUACAGAAGUGAUGCUGAAGAACAGAGGUUUUAAGCUAUUCAACCUGAUAAAGGACAAGUAAACGUUUAAAUAAAAUAAAAAGAAUCAUUUUACUCUAA